UUAAAUUGAAGAGUUUGAUCAUGGCUCAGAUUGAACGCUGGCGGCAGGCCUAACACAUGCAAGUCGAACGGUAACAGGAAGCAGCUUGCUGCUUCGCUGACGAGUGGCGGACGGGUGAGUAAUGUCUGGGAAACUGCCUGAUGGAGGGGGAUAACUACUGGAAACGGUGGCUAAUACCGCAUAAC
rnacentral:rRNA from 1 species